AGCGGCCGCGGUAAUUCCAGCUCCAAUAGCGUAUAUUAAAGUUGUUGCAGUUAAAAAGCUCGUAGUUGAAUUUCGGGAUCAAAGAAUCGGUCAUGCCUUGGUAUGUACUGGUUUUAUUGGUUCUCACCUUCUAAAGAACCAUGAUGUCAUUCAUUUGAUGUUAUGGGGAAUUAGGACUGUUACCUUAGAAAAAAUUAGAGUGUUUAAAGCAGGCUCACGCUUGAAUACAUUAGCAUGGAAUAAUGAAAUAGGACGUUUGAUUCUAUUUUGUUGGUUUCUAGGAUCGACGUAAUGAUUAAUAGGGAUAGUUGGGGGCAUUAGUAUUCAAUUGUCAGAGGUGAAAUUCUUGGAUUUAUUGAAGACUAACUACUGCGAAAGCAUUUGCCAAGGAUGUUUUCAUUAAUCAAGAACGAAAGUUAGGGGAUCGAAGACGAUCAGAUACCGUCGUAGUCUUAACCAUAAA
rnacentral:misc_RNA from 1 species